rnacentral:rRNA from 1 species
UCUUCUUGGAUGAGUUGCGAACGGGUGAGUAACGCGUAGGUAACCUGCCUUGUAGCGGGGGAUAACUAUUGGAAACGAUAGCUAAUACCGCAUAACAAUGGAUGACACAUGUCAUUUAUUUGAAAGGGGCAAUUGCUCCACUACAAGAUGGACCUGCGUUGUAUUAGCUAGUAGGUGAGGUAACGGCUCACCUAGGCGACGAUACAUAGCCGACCUGAGAGGGUGAUCGGCCACACUGGGACUGAGACACGGCCCAGACUCCUACGGGAGGCAGCAGUAGGGAAUCUUCGGCAAUGGGGGCAACCCUGACCGAGCAACGCCGCGUGAGUGAAGAAGGUUUUCGGAUCGUAAAGCUCUGUUGUAAGUCAAGAACGAGUGUGAGAGUGGAAAGUUCACACUGUGACGGUAGCUUACCAGAAAGGGACGGCUAACUACGUGCCAGCAGCCGCGGUAAUACGUAGGUCCCGAGCGUUGUCCGGAUUUAUUGGGCGUAAAGCGAGCGCAGGCGGUUUGAUAAGUCUGAAGUUAAAGGCUGUGGCUCAACCAUAGUUUGCUUUGGAAACUGUCAAACUUGAGUGCAGAAGGGGAGAGCGGAAUUCCAUGUGUAGCGGUGAAAUGCGUAGAUAUAUGGAGGAACACCGGUGGCGAAAGCGGCUCUCUGGUCUGUAACUGACGCUGAGGCUCGAAAGCGUGGGGAGCGAACAGGAUUAGAUACCCUGGUAGUCCACGCCGUAAACGAUGAGUGCUAGGUGUUGGAUCCUUUCCGGGAUUCAGUGC